GCCAGACUCCUACGGGAGGCAGCAGUGGGGAAUAUUGCACAAUGGGGGGAACCCUGAUGCAGCGACGCCGCGUGGGUGAAGGAGUACUUCGGUACGUAAAGCCCUAUCAGCAGGAAAGAAAAUGACGGUACCUGACUAAGAAGCCCCGGCUAACUACGUGCCAGCAGCCGCGGUAAUACGUAGGGGGCAAGCGUUAUCCGGAUUUACUGGGUGUAAAGGGAGCGUAGACGGCAGUGCAAGUCCGGAGUGAAAGCCCGGGGCUCAACCCUGGGACUGCUCUGGAAACUGUAAAGCUGGAGUGCGGGAGGGGCAGGCGGAAUUCCUGGUGUAGCGGUGAAAUGCGUAGAUAUCACGCAGAACCCCGAUUGCGAAGGCAGCCUUCCGGCGCCCUACUGACGCUGAGGCACGAAAGUGCGGGGAUCGAACAGGAUUAGAUACCCGUGUAUA
rnacentral:rRNA from 1 species